rnacentral:rRNA from 1 species
UGGGGAAUAUUGGACAAUGGGCGCAAGCCUGAUCCAGCCAUGCCGCGUGAGUGAUGAAGGCCCUAGGGUUGUAAAGCUCUUUCACCGGUGAAGAUAAUGACGGUAACCGGAGAAGAAGCCCCGGCUAACUUCGUGCCAGCAGCCGCGGAAAUACGAAGGGGGCUAGCGUUGUUCGGAUUUACUGGGCGUAAAGCGCACGUAGGCGGACUAUUAAGUCAGGGGUGAAAUCCCGGGGCUCAACCCCGGAACUGCCUUUGAUACUGGUAGUCUUGAGUUCGAGAGAGGUGAGUGGAAUUCCGAGUGUAGAGGUGAAAUUCGUAGAUAUUCGGAGGAACACCAGUGGCGAAGGCGGCUCACUGGCUCGAUACUGACGCUGAGGUGCGAAAGCGUGGGGAGCAAACAGG